rnacentral:misc_RNA from 1 species
UUGUGCUUCUCUCUAAUAUUGUUGCUGUUAAAUCUGUAAUGUUGUGUCUUACAUUUGGUGUAUGAUUGCCUUAAAAAGUUUCAACGAAAGGCAGAUUAGCUUUUAAUAUCAAGCAGCAGAGCCAUACAAUUAAAGCAAGGUCCCUUCUUUCACCAUAUUCUCUGUAAUAAUGAUGCCAACAGCGCAGAGCUAUCCAAUGCAACACGAAGCAUUAGUCAUUUCAUUUCUCUAUUAAGAAAAAAGAACAGAGGACAACUUUGAAGUAGUGUUCCUAAUAGAUACAGGCAUUUUUCUGAUUCUUUUGGAUUUUGUUUCUCUUCAGAACAUGUUCUACAUGUCCCCAUAUAUCUAACUCACAUAUUCUGCAUCCACCUGCAAGACAAUUCUGCUCCUCCGAGUCAACAUUUAUUGAUGGGAAGAAAGAAAAGCAUUAGUAUAGUAGCAGCAUACAACUUGGAGGGACUACAAACAGUGAACACCAUAAUCCCUUCACCUAUCUGUUGCCGCUGUGAGUCUCUGGGUUGGGUAUCCAAAACCUACAAUAAUGAGAAAUUUCUAUAAUCAGUUGAGCAGAGUAAGCAUAUCUGAGGUUUUAGGAUGUGUUACCUUAUAUAAAUGUUAAGAGGUUGUCAAGAAGUUGUUGGCAAUGUACUCAAGAUCCCUAAUUCAAGGAUCACUGGAGAUUAAAUCACAAGAUUCUCAGCACCCACAUCUUAAGAAACCAAUAACUGCCAUUUGAAUCCUAAUGUUGGGUGAGCACCCUUUGGAUAUGAGGCCAUUCAGGCUGGAACAAUCUGAAUGAUUCCAAAAAUCAGUUCCAGAUUCAGGUCAGAGGCUGGUUCAGACUUAACCCCAAUCUUACCACACCAGUUUCUGCUGUGGCGUUAUAUCACUAUCAUUCCUAAUGAUGAUGAUAAUGGAAUACUAAAACCUACUUUUAGCAGUAACAUAUGGCCAGGGCCAAGCUGUCCAAUUUAAUCUUCAAUCAUUAAGUGAUCCUCUGAAAAAGAUUGGAGAAGUACACACAUUUAAAGAUUGUCCAAUCAGAUGCAUCAAGAAGUAAGGCGUGCAUUAUGAUAAUGGAUUUCACUGUUUAGUCAAACAUAAUGCAGAAACAGCAAUGCCCAAAUAAAUCAAGAAAAUAUGGACUUUAUCAAGUAAAAUGAGGAGAUUCAUAUCUUGAUUAUAACCAUAGAAACAUCCGUAUACAUUUGGGAGGCAAAAAGAAUCAUAUUGAUUUCAACUCAUAUCAAUAUCAUGGCAAAGCGAAGCACUAGUGUGAUCACCUCUCACUUGACAAUAGUAAAUGUCUUGUCUCAGCACCCAUAGACAAGCAUGGCGUGAUAAACUGAUAACAUAUGAAUCCUCCAUGUAAAGCAAGUCAAAUUUGUAGAUGAAUUAUGAAAGAAAACUCUAUAGAUUGAAAUGGGAUCCACUAACAUGGGUAUGAAUGAGUUGGUGAAGAUGAGUGCAACAGCCCACAAAACCACUCAUGCUUUGGGAGCAAAAGUUGUGGAGGCAAGAGUGUUGAUAUGGGUUGACUGUGUUAAUAGUAAACAAAAAAAGUGCAAUGAAGAUCUCACGAGAUCUAAGUUAUGAUUCCUUUACCUUAACAAAAAGAAAACUGGGUGUGGUUGUAUCAAACUUGAUCAUCUUGAUACUUUAGACAAGAUGAAAAUAGACUCCUCAUCAAGUGAAUAAUAAACCAAUACCCCCACUAGAUAAGGUUUUGGUGGAAGACAUACCCUAGAUUUAGACUGCUACAUAAUUUUCCCACGUCGCAUCUCAAUGAGGAAUACCCUCUAAGCCCCAAGGAAACUAAAGCCCAGCAAUUCUGACAACUUGAAACCAAAUAGAUAGAAGAGCCCUAAAGCCCAUGUUCUAUCAGCCAUAUGGUUCGUGAUCCAGCCCGUGAGUUUCAAAGACCAACUGCGAGGAGGGCAGAAGUCUGCAACGCCGAUCACGCCCGAUGAGCUCAGGCCGACGAAGGUGAACAGAAAAGCACAAACGGAGCCAACACUCGCUUAAUGAUCUCAUCGGAGUCCAUAUGUUUCUCGGUUUUAGCAGCUCUAUAAGAAGGGCAAGGCGGUCUCUUGACAGGAUUUAGAGCCAAGGAGGAAAAUUGGAUGCUACUGAGGUAUCGGUAAUGUAAUCCCCAUAAAACCUUCCCCUAAGAAGCCUGUGUAAAGCCAAAAACCAACUCCCCUUCACAUCCGACGGCAUGACAAAAACACAGACUUGCCGUCAACCAGACAACCAAGCUAAUACAGCAGAUCCAACGAGGCCCUCUGCAUUUAGCACAGAAUUGCAAGAAAAGAAGCAAGCAAAAAGUAUUUAUACCAACCGGGAAAUGGGGAAGGUAAACAAACAAUAUCGAGCAAGAGGGAUAGGGUAGGGGAAGCCUCACAUAGGCAGAGAAAAACCCACGAAACCCCAGAAGAUGAAGAAAAACAAGAGAGAAAUUUCUCUCUUUGAAAGUUUAGAGAGAGAGGGACCUGUUGAUAUACUUAAUUCAUAAAGCAAUAUAUGAAUUAUAUCCAUUUAAUUCAUUACACUUAAUUAGCAUAACCUUUUACACUUAAUAAAAUAAUAAUUUUAUUUUGCUUUUUCAUAAUUUUUAAAUUUUUUUGAUGAUGUAUUCAUUAUAGGAGACUAAUAUUAGUAAAAGAAAUAAUAUGUUGAGCUUGUAGGCCUGGUAAUGAUAUUAAGCUGAGCAUUUAAUUGUAACUUAGGGCUUUACAUUUACAUGAACCCUAAAGUCCUAAAUUCUAAAUAUAAUAAUAUGAGGAGCUUUUACUUGUAGGCCUUGUAACUUAGGGCUUCAAACAACUAGCCUUCUAUGUGUCUUCUUCCUCCGACUCUUCUUCUCCUAGUGAUACAGAGAGAAUGCCUCUUCUUCCUUUGGUGAUGCAUACCUCCUACUCCUCCUCCUACGCACUUUUUGAUUUUAUGCCAAGCCCUUUGAUUUUGUGCCAAGUGAAUGAAAUCACUUGAUUUGGUGAUCCAGAUCACGUCCUUGGGCAAUUUGGGAAGCGCGAUCUAAGUAACAAAACCCAAGGAAGGUAAGCGAAUCUGGUAACCAUCGUUCCAUCCAUGUAAAGAAGUUGGCUCCUGAUCAUCUUCCAUUUGUUGAGACUCAUUUACAUUAAGCACCAAAUAUGAUAUGGUCACCGGUCAUAACAACUUGCACUUACCUGAAAUGCCAGAAUUCUAUGAACAUAACUAAUGAAAUACAGUUCAUUACUAUUUACCAAUUUGAUAGCAUCAAUAGCUAGUGCCAGCCACAAAUUCUAUUCAUUCCAUCAGUCAAUUAAAGCUAGAAUCACUCAAAUGCCUCUUUAGGCUGAGAAUUAGAGUCAAUCUGCCUAUUUUUGGCUUGGAACCCAUAACUCCCAUCCUGUUGUAAACUCAUAUCAAAAACUUCAGACUCAGAAUAUCUAGGAUUUCGCAAACCAUUACUCUGAUUAAUCCUACCAUCAAUCUUACUCCUAUUAGUCUUAGUAUCACCACUUCCUCUUUGCUUUCUACCUAAACCAACUUGCCCUGAAUCUAAUGAACCUAAACCACUCCUAAAUCUACUUCUGUUGCCCUGCUUCCUAAAUUCACCACCAUUUCUACUUUUAGUAUUCUUAUCCAUGCCCCAUUUUCCAGUAGAAUUCUUGUUAUAUCCACUCUCUAAAUCUGAAUUAUCUUCCCUUGCCAACGAAUCCACACAGUCCUUCUUCCUUCCAGUGUGCAGACCACCCCUCCUAAAUUUCUCAUUGACUGACAAAGCAUUACUUUUGUACCCAUUCCUUGCCAUAGCCAUACCAUAUCUAUCUUUAUUUCCAUUUUCAUUUUCCCUUUCGCUUUCACUUUCCAAAGCAGAAUCCUCUUCUCCACUAUCAAAAUCACCAUUCCCAGCAAUCUUACCAUAAGGCCUGACACUAUGAACAACACCUUUAGGGAAAAACCUAGCGGAGGAGACCCCAUCGGGAGUCUCAAACAGCUGGCGCCCAUCCUACUCCGACCACAAAUCAAACCCGCCCGGUUUCUGAAACCGAUCGGCCAAGACCUUCACUUGCCCAUCCGCACUAACAGAGAACAACGUCGGUGCUUUCUCGACCACCUCCCAGGGGCGUUCAAGCUCCGCAACCGCCACCUUGAGCUCCGCUCUCUUUUGCAUUUCGUAAAUCUGUCUCUCGCACCAGAGUCGAGCUUUUAGAAGCUGUUUAGCUUUCUUAGCCUGCAUUCGCUUCCAUUGCCACUUGGAUACUCCGCCUGGGUAAGUAUUGGGGCCGCCACCCAUUCGGAUGAUGGUAGUGUUGCGGGGAACGGGUGAAGUGUUUAAGGAGAGUGGGAGAACCUAGAGAGAAAGAGCGGGCUUUGGGGUGAUAAGGUUUUAGAGAAGGAGAGCUGCAUUGGAAUUGAGACAGACAUGGAUUAUGAAAUAAAUUGGGGCGAUUGACAAGUUUACAGGUGAAGAUUUUCCGGCCAAAGUAAAAAAAC